GACGAACGCUGGCGGCGUGCCUAAUACAUGCAAGUCGAACGCAGUGGGGACGGGUGAGUAACACGUGGGUAACCUCCCAUCAGAGGGGAUAACACUUGGAAACAGGUGCUAAACCGAUACUGAUGGAUGGACCCGCGGUGCAUUAGCUAGUUGGUGGGGUAACGGCUCACCAAGGCCACGAUGCAUAGCCGACCUGGGAGGGUGAUCGGACACACUGGGAACUGGAACCGGCCCAAUCUCCUAAGGGAGGCAGCAGGAGGGAAUCUUCGGCAAUGGGGGGAACCCUGAACGAGCAACGCCGCGGGAGUGAAGAAGGUUUUCGGAUCGUAAAGCUCUGUUGUUAAGGAAGCGGUACUUAACCAGAAAGGGACGGCUAACUACGUGCCAGCAGCCGCGGUAAUUC
rnacentral:rRNA from 1 species